rnacentral:rRNA from 1 species
GAUGAACGCUGGCGGCGUGCUUAACACAUGCAAGUCGAACGGAAAGGCCCAAGCUUGCUUGGGUACUCGAGUGGCGAACGGGUGAGUAACACGUGGGUGAUCUGCCCUGCACUUCGGGAUAAGCCUGGGAAACUGGGUCUAAUACCGGAUAGGACGAUGGUUUGGAUGCCAUUGUGGAAAGUUUUUUCGGUGUGGGAUGAGCUCGCGGCCUAUCAGCUUGUUGGUGGGGUAAUGGCCUACCAAGGCGUCGACGGGUAGCCGGCCUGAGAGGGUGUACGGCCACAUUGGGACUGAGAUACGGGCCAGACUCCUACGGGAGGCAGCAGUGGGGAAUAUUGCACAAUGGGCGCAAGCCUGAGGCAGCGACGCCGCGUGGGGGAUGACGGCCUUCGGGUUGUAAACUCCUUUCGCUAGGGACGAAGCGUUUUUGUGACGGUACCUGGAGAAGAAGCACCGGCUAACUACGUG